rnacentral:rRNA from 1 species
GCAAUAUCCUGUGAUCCGGCGACAUCUGAAUGGGGAAACCCACUUGUCAUAAGACAGGUACCCCGCUAUAUUUUAUAGCGGGGGGCAAACCGGGAGAAGUGAAACAUCUCAGUAACCCGAGGAAAAGAAAUCAAUAGAGAUUCCCCUAGUAGCGGCGAGCGAACGGGGAGGAUCCGACUGAUUAUAAUUUAGAGGAAUGACUUGGAAAGGUCAAUCGUAGAGGGUGAUAAUCCCGUACUCGAAAGGUUAUAAGAAGCAUAUUAAGUAGGGCCGAACACGAGAAAUUCUGUCUGAAGAUGGGGGGACCAUCCUCCAAGGCUAAAUACUCCUGACUGACCGAUAGUGAACCAGUACCGUGAGGGAAAGGCGAAAAGAAGCCCUGUGAGGGGAGUGAAAUAGAACCUGAA